rnacentral:tRNA from 1 species
CGGGCUGUAGCGCAGUUUGGUAGCGCACUUGACUGGGGGUCAAGGGGUUUACCCCUCCUGGUUGGCUCAA